ensembl:lincRNA
UGUCUUAGCUUGGGAUGCUAUAACGAAAUACUAUAGACUGUGUGGCUUAAACAACACAAAUUUAUUUCUCAGUUCUGGAAGCCAGGAAGUUCAAGAUCAAGAUGCCAAAACGUUUGAUUUCUGGUGAAGGCUCACUUCCUGAUUUGUAGACAACUGUCUUCUCACUGUAUUCUCACAUGGCAUAGAAAGCUGAGAGCUCUGAUCUCUUCCUCUUUUCAGAAGGACUCUAAUUUCAUCACAGCAGCUUUAUCCUCAUGGCUUUAUCUAUGCCUGAUAACCUCCAAAAACCCCUCCUGCAAAUACCAACACAUCAAGGGUUAGGACUUCAACAUACACAUGUUGACCAGAGAAACAAACAUUUAGCCUAUAACAAUGAUUUUGGUUUAUUUAUGGAGAAGGAAGCUAUAGAAGAAUAACUAAAAUGCAUAAAGGCAAGUUGAAUGUUCAAAGGGUAAGCAUGGGUCUGAUUGUUAAUAUCACUAUUAGCUCAGCUACAAAUGAGCAUCUGGAGCAAUAGCAUCUCUCUAGGUUUGAGGAGGUGAGCGGCGGUGCCUCAGCGAUCUCCUCUGCAGCAUAGGAAAUGAUGGCUGUUUCUUUCCGCUCGGAAGCAUGGCCACAAAAGCCCUCCUCUGAAAGUGCUCUUGCUGUACUGACUUUGCUUGUCAACAAUGUGGCACUCCUCAAUUAACAGACACUCCCUACAUCAGUAUUGGGUGUCCUCUGAAGGAAAACUGAAUCUUCCCCACCUCACUUUCCUCUUUAUGCCAUAACUGAGUUCCGGAAUGUGAAAGCCUACACUGCUGGAUCUGCUGUGUGGACUUGACCCUGACCAGGGAGCUCCAAAAACCGGUGAUGAUAACAUGAUGUAAUGAAAGUGAAAGGAAGGCAACUGAGAGAAUAAGAGAACGUAAACAAGAGGCAAUAGAGAACUGGAGAUCCUUAAACACUUUUAAAGAAAGAAGGCAUGUGCCCUAUCUUAACUGUUGGGAAACUUUCAGAAGAUGGGCAUAGGACUGAUAAAUGCAGCUGGCAAAAGUCUACCACAUUUGGGCUUUGUAUAGCAAGGACAUCAGAAGAACAGCACCGUCAGAAGGGAGGGUACAGUGAUUAUGGUGGAACUGCAUUAUAA